rnacentral:SRP_RNA from 1 species
UGUAGUUUCGUGUGCGUUGGUGGCACGCUCUGUUCGGCGAUGCUUUGGGAGAUCGAGAGGUGGCGUUGAUAAUGGAGUUCAUCGAACUGCGGAAGACUGGAAACAG